rnacentral:lncRNA from 1 species
GCAUUCCAUUGAAUUUGUAAAGGGGCACUGGCAUUUACUGUUGCAACAGCAGUGCUCAUAACAAUUUCAGGUGGACUAUAUUCAUUCUGAAAUAGAUCAUUGAUGUUAAAUGAGGUGGUUAAUUGUCUCCAAUCACUGGAUAAUUCACAAGGCGACCAGAUGCGGUCAUAAACAUCAUCUUUGUACCUGUUGUUUGUACAUGGCCAAAAAAAUUGUCAGUACUUGACUUUCUUGUUAUUUAUUUAUAUAAAUAUUGAAGUUAGCUAAUUAAUAUGCUGACUACAUCUUACCUGUAUUCUCUGUUUGUGAUGGAACCUAAAUCACAUCGCUUGAAAAGUGAUAAUACUAAAUCAGGUGAGUAUGUGACAUAAUUAGAAUUUGUCAAAGUCCUCAAUUCUAAAACUGAAAUGAAUGGAGUCCCUUUGCCUAUGUUAACAAGACAUGGUUGUAUGUGAUCUUGUGAUGGAGUGUAUAUGAUCUCCUUGAGUGUGAUGCCUGAUACAUUAGUGAACUUUACUGUUUCCCAAACAUUAGCUCCAAAAUGUAGAUCAAAUUCUGGUGGUUGAUUUAGAUUAUCAUAGUUUCCAUAAUAAAAAGAAGCUCUGAUUAAAUAUUUAGUACCACUUGUUACAUUUAUUCUGUAACAGUUUCUAACUCCACUAGGAAAACUCCUCACAUGUUGUAGUUCCUGUGGAAUAAUAGGUGGCGGUGCUAUCCUCUUAUUUACACCAGUAUGUAUGAAUUUGGCAUCUGAAAUAUAAUUUACGCCUGUCCGCAACCCAGAAUAUUUCACAUCUUCAUGUUGACCACAAUCUAAGCUAAUGAAUCCUGAUACAUAUAAAUUGAGGAACAAAUUAAGAUAACUUCAUCUACAAAAAUAAUUACUAGUAACAACUAUGUGACAUAAAGCAGGUAUAGACAAAUUCAUAAACAAACCUGAUUUGUUUUUGAAGAUCCUCAUAAACAAAUCUGAUUGAUCCUGAGGUUGUAUCGAAGCCAAAAUAGUAAGGACACCAAGCAAUAUAGUAAGAAAAUGGGGUAACAUUAUCAUCAUCCUUGUAUAAAUGAUAAUGCAAGGAAGCAUUUAUACACAAUGCUGUUAGUUAUUUACGUCAGAUUCCUUUCCUUGGAGUUUAUCUUAUUAGAGACACACACCCGUCGUUCGGAAAAACUGAAUUCGAUUUCUGGAAGAAACAAUUAUUAAUCAAACUUUACUUAUCUCCCGACUACACUUGAGUUACUCGGGUACAUUUCCUCCAUAGACCGGAGGAUUAACAAACCAAAUAUCAAAAACUAAAUCCCAUUAAUGGGGCGUUUGUUUCAAGUAUAUAAGGAUAAAAAUGAGUGUUUUAUUCCUAUCUACUUAAAAAUAAUGUUUGAAUAUUUUGGGAAACUUUAUAAAAGUAAAGUCAUUGGAUAGACUCUUUAUAAUUAAAAACAAAUUAAUCACAAAAUUAUAUUAGGAAAUGUCUCUCAAUAUAACAUGUCUACAAUGUUUCCGGGGUUGGAUGAGACACACACUAAAUAUUAAAUAUUCUACAAUGUUUGGUUUCAUUAGAGGCUAUUUGAUUCAGAGACUCUACAAUUGAUUUAGUUUGAAGCUCGUAUUAGAUGUCUCUGAGCAAAAUCGAAUAUAUUCCACAUCUUUUUGUUGGACAAUAAUUUAAUACUAUUUGCUUGUUUGUCUAUUUUAUUAUUACAUAUGUCUGAACGGUGACCCAUACUUACGUUUUUUAGAC